rnacentral:rRNA from 1 species
UACGGGGGGGGCAAGCGUUGUUCGGAAUUACUGGGCGUAAAGGGCUCGUAGGCGGCCAACUAAGUCAGACGUGAAAUCCCUCGGCUUAACCGGGGAACUGCGUCUGAUACUGGUUGGCUUGAAUCCGGGAGAGGGAUGUGGAAUUCCAGGUGUAGCGGUGAAAUGCGUAGAUAUCUGGAGGAACACCGGUGGCGAAGGCGGCAUCCUGGACCGGUAUUGGACGCUGAGGAGCGAAAAGCCAGGGGAGCAAAGCGGGAUUAAGAAACCCGUGGUACGUCCGAGA